AGUGAACGUUGGCGGCGUGGAUUAGGCAUGCAAGUCGUGCGACGAGGCCCGCAAGGGUACUCGAGCGGCGAAAGGGAGAGUAACGCGUGGGCCACCUACCCUUGGGUCCGGGAUAGCGGCGGGGAAAUGGAGGUAAUACCGGAUAACAUCUCAGGAUCAAAGGUGUGAUUCCGCCUGGGGAUGGGCCCGCGUCCUAUUAGUUUGUUGGUGAGGUAACGGCUCACCAAGGCUAAGAUGGGUACCGGGUGUGAGAGCAUGACCCGGCUCACUGGGACUGAGACACUGCCCAGACACCUACGGGUGGCUGCAGUCGAGAAUCUUCGGCAAUGAGCGCAAGCUUGACCGAGCGACGCCGCGUGCGGGAUGAAGGCCUUCGGGUUGUAAACCGCUGUCAGUGGGGAGGAAAUGCAUGGCCUCAGGGUCGGCCUGACCUAGCCUCAGAGGAAGCACGGGCUAAGUUCGUGCCAGCAGCCGCGGUAAGACGAACCGUGCGAACGUUGUUCGGAAUCACUGGGCUUAAAGGGUGCGUAGGCGGCUAAGUAAGUCGGGUGUGAAAUCCCUCGGCUCAACCGAGGAACUGCGCCCGAUACUGCUUGGCUCGAGGGAGAUAGGGGCGCGUGGAACUUCCGGUGGAGCGGUGAAAUGCGUUGAUAUCGGAAGGAACGCCGGUGGCGAAAGCGACGCGCUAGGUCUCUUCUGACGCUGAGGCACGAAAGCUAGGGGAGCGAACGGGAUUAGAUACCCCGGUAGUCCUAGCCGUAAACGAUGAGCACUGGGUUGAGGAAGUUCCGAUGCUUUCUCAGCCGUAGCAAAAGUGUUAAGUGCUCCGCCUGGGAAGUAUGGCCGCAAGGCUGAAACUCAAAGGAAUUGACGGGGGCUCACACAAGCGGUGGAGGAUGUGGCUUAAUUCGAGUCUACGCGAAGAACCUUAUCCUGGUCUUGACAUGCACGGAUUAACCCUGUGAAAGCAGGGCCACGCCUCUUCGAGGUGGAACGUGCACAGGUGCUGCAUGGCUGUCGUCAGCUCGUGUCGUGAGAUGUCGGGUUAAGUCCCUUAACGAGCGAAACCCUUGUCCCUAGUUGCCAGCGAGUUAUGUCGGGGACUCUAGGGAGACUGCCGGUGUUAAACCGGAGGAAGGUGGGGAUGACGUCAAGUCCUCAUGGCCUUUAUGACCAGGGCUGCACACGUCCUACAAUGGCGUGAACAAAGGGAAGCGAACUCGCGAGGGUAAGCAAAUCCCAAAAAGCACGCCUCAGUUCGGAUUGCAGGCUGCAACUCGCCUGCAUGAAGUCGGAAUCGCUAGUAAUCGCAGGUCAGCAUACUGCGGUGAAUGUGUUCCUGAGCCUUGUACACACCGCCCGUCAAGCCACGGAAGCCGGGGGUACCCGAAGUCGCCGCGCUAACCCGUAAGGGAGGCAGGUGCCGAAGAUGAACUCCGCGAUUGGGACU
rnacentral:rRNA from 1 species